AGGACAGGUGGUGCGAUGGUUGUCGGUCAGCUCGUGUCGUGAGAUGUUGGGUUAAGUCCCGCAACGAGCGCAACCCCUACGUUUAGUUGCUAACGCGUGAAGGCGAGCACUCUAGACGAACUGCCGUUGACAAAACGGAGGAAGGUGGGGAUGACGUCAAAUCAUCAUGCCCCUUAUGUUCUGGGCUACACACGUGCUACAAUGGCCGGUACAGACGGACGCAAAGCCGCGAGGUGGAGCAAAUCCUAAAAAGCCGGUCUCAGUUCGGAUUGCAGGCUGCAAUUCGCCUGCAUGAAGUCGGAAUCGCUAGUAAUCGCAGGUCAGCAUACUGCGGUGAAUACGUUCCCGGGCCUU
rnacentral:rRNA from 1 species